rnacentral:lncRNA from 1 species
CAAUUAUUGUCUUGGUUAUGAGCCAGUGCUUCGUGUUUCAGAAUUCUUCAUUUUGAAUUUUUAAUAAAAUUGAAGAUGUUCAGUACAGAUCCCCUAACAAACCUGAAUAAAAAGACAAUUAUGGGCCCUCAUGGAAUCAAUCGAGCUGUUCACCGCAUUUCUUUUUCUGAUUGUCAGAAUGGAUUAGGAGUUAAAAUUAUUGGAGGUUACCGGGCACAAACUGCAGAAGAUUAUGGGAUUUUCAUAAAGAGAAUUCUACCUGGAGGUGUUGCUGCUGUAGAUAGCCGUUUGCUCACGGGAGACCUCAUUUUGGAUGUCAAUGGAGAAAACUUAAUUGGAGUAACCAAUGAAAGGGCCGUUGACAUCUUGCGAACAGCUUCAGCAUCUAAUCACAUGUCUCUGCUAGUUGCCAGAGAUGAAGAAGCAAAGAAAGAGUUUCUUGACCUGAUGGAUAAGUAUGGCUCUCACAGUGACACCAACUCUGCAAGAAGUUCUCCAACACAGCUAUUAGCUGGUGAGAGAUUUCUUCCCAUCCUGACAUAAUCUCUUGUAGGACAAUCUUCAUGCUUCUGUGGACUAGACUCCUGCACUGAAAACUCUACUUGGGGAAAGGGUGUACUGGAGCAAGAGAAUGUCAGGCUAAGCACGUGUUUACUUAAGACUUUUAACAUUUACUUUGUAGUCUAAACAUUUAACUUGACUUGUUUGUGUGUAGGUUUCCCCAUCUCUAAAACAAAUGUUCUGCCAUCUACUUUCAGCAAUUUUAAUUAAUGAGUAGUGUGAACUGUGUUUG